AAUGGCGGACGGGUGAGUAAAAUGUUGAGAAUCUGCCCUUGAGUGGGGGACAACAGUUGGAAACGAUUGCUAAUACCCCAUACUCAAGGAUGAGUCUGCAUCUGAUUAGCUAGUUGGUGGUGUAAUGGACUACCAAGGCGAUGAUCAGUAGCUGGUUUGAGAGGAUGAUCAGCCACAAUGGGACUGAGACACGGCCCAUACUCCUACGGGAGGCAGCAGUAGGGAAUUUUGCGCAAUGGGGGAAACCCUGACGCAGCAACGCCGCGUGAUUGAUGAAGCCCUUCGGGGUGUAAAGAUCUGUCAGUAGGGACGCUGUACCUACAGAGGAAGCACCGGCUAACUCCGUGCCAGCAGCCGCGGUAAUACGGGGGGUGCGAGCGUUGUCCGGAAUCAUUGGGCGUAAAGGGUUCGUAGGUGGUAUGUUAAGUCUGGUGUUAAAUUCCGAAGCUCAACUUCGGUACGGCACUGGAUACUGGCAAACUUGAAUGCGGUAGAGGUAAAGGGAAUUCCUGGUGUAGCGGUGAAAUGCGUAGAUAUCAGGAGGUACAUCGGUGGCGUAAGCGCUUUACUGGGCCGUAAUUGACACUGAGGAACGAAAGCCGGGGUAGCAAAUGGGAUUAGAUACCCCAGUAGUCCCGGCCGUAAACGAUGGAUACUAGGUGUUGCG
rnacentral:rRNA from 1 species